UUGCUUUAAUACAUAAACUUAGAUAAUUGAUAUUUAUUAUUAGACCAUAAAUUUUCAAAAAAAAAAAAGUAAAAAGAAAAAGUUUUCAAAAAAUAACUCUUUGAGAUUACAUUAUUGAAAAGGAUAAUUAUAAAGUUGAAAUAAUUAAUUUUCAUAAAAUAUAAAAGACACAUGAAAAGUACAUUUGUCAUAAAAAAAAAUCUAGAUAGUAUUAAAUGGGAUAC
rnacentral:lncRNA from 1 species